rnacentral:rRNA from 1 species
UCUACGGAGAGUUUGAUCCUGGCUCAGGACGAACGCUGGCGGUGUGCCUCAAACAUGCAAGUCGAGGGAGGGUUGGCGUCUGGCUUGCCAGACGUUUCAACUCUACCGGCGAACGGGUGAGUAACACGUGGGCAAUCUGCCCUGAAGACGGGGACAACCUCGGGAAACCGGGGCUAAUACCCGAUAUCCUCCUUGGGGGGCAUCCUCCGGGGAGGAAAGGUCCGCAAGGUCUGCUUCAGGAGGAGCCCGCGGCCUAUCAGCUAGUUGGUGGGGUCACGGCCUACCAAGGCGAUGACGGGUAGCUGGUCUGAGAGGACGAUCAGCCACACUGGGACUGAGACACGGCCCAGACUCCUACGGGAGGCAGCAGUUGGGAAUUUUGGGCAAUGGGCGCAAGCCGGACCCAGCGACACCGCGUGGGGGACGAAGGCCUUCGGGUUGUAACCCCCUGUCAGGAGGGACGAAGCCGCAAGGUGACGGUACCUCCAGAGGAAGCCCCGGCUAACUACGUGCCAGCAGCCGCGGUAAGACGUAGGGGGCGAGCGUUGUCCGGAAUUACUGGGCGUAAAGCGCGUGCAGGCGGUCUGUUAAGUCCC